rnacentral:rRNA from 1 species
UACGUAGGGUGCAAGCGUUGUCCGGAAUUAUUGGGCGUAAAGAGCUCGUAGGCGGUUUGUCGCGUCUGCUGUGAAAACGCGGGGCUCAACUCCGCGCCUGCAGUGGGUACGGGCAGACUAGAGUGCAGUAGGGGAGACUGGAAUUCCUGGUGUAGCGGUGGAAUGCGCAGAUAUCAGGAGGAACACCGGUGGCGAAGGCGGGUCUCUGGGCUGUAACUGACGCUGAGGAGCGAAAGCGUGGGGAGCGAAUGGG